rnacentral:rRNA from 1 species
UACGUAGGGGGCAAGCGUUGUCCGGAAUCAUUGGGCGUAAAGCGCGUGUAGGCGGCUUGGUAAGUCUGCUCUGAAAUCCCACGGCUCAACCAUGGAAGUGCUUUCGAAACUGCUGAGCUUGAGUACGAAAGAGGAUCGCGGAAUUCCCGGUGUAGAGGUGAAAUUCGUAGAUAUCGGGAGGAACACCAGUGGCGAAGGCGGCGAUCUGGGUCGAUACUGACGCUGAGGUGCGAAAGCGUGGGGAGCAAACAGG